UCCGACCUCAAAUCGGACGAGAUUACCCGCUGAAUUUAAGCAUAUCAAUAAGCGGAGGAA
rnacentral:rRNA from 2 species